rnacentral:rRNA from 1 species
GAUGAACGCUAGCGGGAGGCUUAACACAUGCAAGUCGAGGGGCAGCAUAGGGUAGCAAUACUCUGAUGGCGACCGGCAAACGGGUGAGUAACGCGUAUGCAACCUACCCUGUACAGGGGGAUAACCCGGAGAAAUUCGGACUAAUAUCCCGUAAUAAUAUCCGGAGGCAUCUUUGGAUAUUUAAAGUUCCGACGGUACGGGAUGGGCAUGCGUAACAUUAACUGGUUGGUAAGGUAACGGCUUACCAAGGCUAUGAUGUUUAGGGGUCCUGAGAGGGUGGUCCCCCACACUGGUACUGAGACACGGACCAGACUCCUACGGGAGGCAGCAGUGAGGAAUAUUGGUCAAUGGGCGCAAGCCUGAACCAGCCAUCCCGCGUGCAGGAAGACGGCCCUAUGGGUUGUAAACUGCUUUUCCAGGGAGAGAAACUUACGCACGUGUUGCGUGACUGACGGUACCCUGGGAAUAAGCAUCGGCUAACUCCGUGCCAGCAGCCGGCGGUAAACUGUAGUCGU